GAUGAAGAACGUAGCGAAAUGCGAUAAGUAAUGUGAAUUGCAGAAUUCAGUGAAUCAUCGAAUCUUUGAACGCACAUUGCGCCCGCCAGUAUUCUGGCGGGCAUGCCUGUCUGAGCGUCAUUUCAACCCUCAUGCCCCUAGGGCGUGGUGUUGGGGAUCGGCCAAAGCCCGCGAGGGACGGCCGGCCCCUAAAUCUAGUGGCGGACCCGUCGUGGCCUCCUCUGCGAAGUAGUGAUAUUCCGCAUCGGAGAGCGAUGAGCCCCUGCCGUUAAACCCCCAACUUUCCAAGGUUGACCUCAGAUCAGGUACGAAUACCCGCUGAACUUAAGCAUAUCAAUAAGCGGAGGA
rnacentral:misc_RNA from 1 species